UACGGGGGGGGCAAGCGUUGUUCGGAAUUACUGGGCGUAAAGGGCUCGUAGGUGGCCAACUAAGUCAUACGUGAAAUCCCUCAGCUUAACUGGGGAACUGCGUCUGAUACUGGAUGGCUUGAGUUUGGGAGAGGGAUGCGGAAUUCCAGGUGUAGCGGUGAAAUGCGUAGAUAUCUGGAGGAACACCGGUGGCGAAGGCGGCAUCCUGGACCAAUACUGACACUGAGGCGCGAAAGCUAGGGGAGCAAACGGG
rnacentral:rRNA from 1 species